rnacentral:rRNA from 1 species
CCCUUAGAUGUUCUGGGCCGCACGCGCGCUACACUGAUGCAUUCAACGAGCCUAUCCUUGACCGACAGGUCCGGGUAAUCUUUGAAUCUGCAUCGUGACGGGGAUAGAUUAUUGCAAUUAUUAAUCUUCAACGAGGAAUUCCUAGUAAACGCAAGUCAUCAACUUGCAUUGAUUACGUCCCUGCCCUUUGUACACACCGCCCGUCGCUACUACCGAUUGAAUGAUUUAGUGAGUACCAGGGACCGAGCGCUUUGGUUGGGUUUCCUUCCCUAGCGCUUGGGAACUGUCGCAAACUUGACCAUUUAGAGGAAGUAAAAGUCGUAACA